GAUGAAGAACGCAGCGAAAUGCGAUAAGUAAUGCGAAUUGCAGAAUUUCCGUGAGUCAUCGAAUCUUUGAACGCACAUUGCGCCUCAUGGCAUUCCGUGAGGCAUACCCAUCUCAGCGUUAGAAAAUAUUCUCAAAUUUUAGUUUUGUGCUAAAAUUUGGAUCAUGUCAAGGAAGCUAUUACUAUUAUUGUGAUCGCUCUUUGGAAAUUGAUAGGUCUUUGAGUUGCUACUCAUAGAACGUGAUGAAUCUUUCUUCGUUCUAUUGUAAUUCACUCUGGUAGUCCUAAAACUUGUAUGCCUGUGGCAUAUCUUGUAAUUUGACCUGAGAUUGGGUAGGGAUACCCGCUGAACUUAAGCAUAUCAAUAAGCGGAGGA
rnacentral:misc_RNA from 1 species